GACGAACCGUGCGAACGUUGUUCGGAAUCACUGGGCUUAAAGGGCGCGUAGGCGGGCUGCCAAGUCUGUGGUGAAAUCCUCCAGCUUAACUGGAGAACGGCCGUGGAUACUGGCGGUCUCGAGGGAGAUAGGGGCAAGUGGAACUGUGCGUGGAGCGGUGAAAUGCGUUGAUAUGCACAGGAACUCCGGUGGCGAAGGCGACUUGCUGGGUCUCUUCUGACGCUGAUGCGCGAAAGCUAGGGGAGCGAACGGG
rnacentral:rRNA from 1 species